rnacentral:rRNA from 1 species
AUUGAACGCUGGCGGCAUGCCUUACACAUGCAAGUCGAACGGCAGCGGGGACUUCGGUCCGCCGGCGAGUGGCGAACGGGUGAGUAAUGUAUCGGAACGUACCAUUCAGUGGGGGAUAACUAUCCGAAAGGAUAGCUAAUACCGCAUAUUUUGUGAGCAGGAAAGCAGGGGAUCGCAAGACCUUGCGCUGAUUGAGCGGCCGGUAUCAGAUUAGCGAGUUGGUGAGGUAACGGCUCACCAAGGCUACGAUCUGUAGCGGGUCUGAGAGGAUGAUCCGCCACACUGGGACUGAGACACGGCCCAGACUCCUACGGGAGGCAGCAGUGGGGAAUUUUGGACAAGGGGCGCAAGCCUGAUCCAGCCAUGCCGCGUGAGUGAAGAAGGCCUUCGGGUUGUAAAGCUCUUUCGGCCGGGAAGAAAUCGCAUCAGCUAAUACCUAGUGUGGAUGACGGUACCGGAAUAAGAAGCACCGGCUAACUACGUGCCAGCAGCCGCAGUAACAC